rnacentral:rRNA from 1 species
GAUGAACGCUGGCGGCGUGCCUAAUACAUGCAAGUCGAGCGAACAGACGAGAGUGCUUGCACUCUCUGACGUUAGCGGCGGACGGGCGAGUAACACGUGGGUAACCUACCUAUAAGACUGGGAUAACUUCGGGAAACCGGAGCUAAUACCGGAUAAUAUUUAGCUUCGCAUGAAGCGAUAGUGAAAGACGGUUCUGCUGUCACUUAGAGAUGGACCCGCGGUGUAUUAGCUAGUUGGUGAGGUAACGGCUCACCAAGGCAACGAUACAUAGCCGACCUGAGAGGGUGAUCGGCCACACUGGGACUGAGACACGGCCCAGACUCCUACGGGAGGCAGCAGUAGGGAAUCUUCCGCAACGGACGAAAGUCUGACGGAGCAACGCCGCGUGAGUGAAGAAGGUUUUCGGAUCGUAAAACUCUGUUGUAAGGGAAGAACAAGUACGUUAGUAACUGAACGUACCUUGACGGUACCUUACCAGAAAGCCACGGCUAACUACGUGCCAGCAGCCGCGGUAACAC